AUACGUAGGGAGCAAGCGUUGUCCGGAUUUACUGGGUGUAAAGGGUGCGUAGGCGGCAAAGCAAGUCAGGCGUGAAAUCUGAGGGCUUAACCCUCAAACUGCGUUUGAAACUGUUUUGCUUGAGUGAAGUAGAGGUAGGCGGAAUUCCCGGUGUAGCGGUGAAAUGCGUAGAGAUCGGGAGGAACACCAGUGGCGAAGGCGGCCUACUGGGCUUUAACUGACGCUGAAGCACGAAAGCAUGGGUAGCAAACAGGAUUAGAUACCCUGGUAGUCCAUGCCGUAAACGAUGAUUACUAGGUGUGGGGGGUCUGACCCCCUCCGUGCCGCAGUUAACACAAUAAGUAAUCCACCUGGGGAGUACGGCCGCAAGGUUGAA
rnacentral:rRNA from 1 species